CGGCAACAGCUCAAAUUUGAAAUCUGGCCCUCGCGGUCCGAGUUGUAAUUUGUAGAGGAUGCUUUUGGUGCGGUGCCUUCCGAGUUCCCUGGAACGGGACGCCAUAGAGGGUGAGAGCCCCGUCUGGUUGGAUGCCAAACCUCUGUAAAGCUCCUUCGACGAGUCGAGUAGUUUGGGAAUGCUGCUCAAAAUGGGAGGUAUAUGUCUUCUAAAGCUAAAUACCGGCCAGAGACCGAUAGCGCACAAGUAGAGUGAUCGAAAGAUGAAAAGCACUUUGAAAAGAGGGUUAAAUAGUACGUGAAAUUGUUGAAAGGGAAGCGUUUGUGACCAGACUUGGGCUCGGUGAAUCAUCCGGCGUUCUCGCCGGUGCACUUCGCCGGUCCAGGCCAGCAUCGGUUCGCUCGCGGGGGAUAAAGGCGUCGGGAAUGUGGCUCCUCGGAGUGUUAUAGCCCUUCGCACAAUACCCUGCGGUGGACCGAGGUUCGCGCAUCUGCAAGGAUGCUGGCGUAAUGGUCAUCAACGACCCGUCUUGAAACACGGACCAAGGAGUCGUCUUCGUAUGCGAGUGUUCGGGUGUCAAACCCCUACGCGUAAUGAAAGUGAACGGAGGUGAGAGCUACGGCGCAUCAUCGACCGAUCCUGAUGUUCUCGGAUGGAUUUGAGUAAGAGCAUACGGGGCCGGACCCGAAAGAAGGUGAACUAUGCCUGUAUAGGGUGAAGCCAGAGGAAACUCUGGUGGAGGCUCGCAGCGGUUCUGACGUGCAAAUCGAUCGUCAAAUAUGGGCAUGGGGGCGAA
rnacentral:rRNA from 1 species